UACAUCUACAGAUACAAAGCUGUCUUUUCCAUUGGCUUCCUGCUAUGGAAAGUUGGAUCACCAAGACAAGUCUAAGCCAUUGACCUUUUACAGUUCAGAGCUUCUACUUGUAGUGGGUGAUGAUUUACCACAGUAAUCCACAACUGGACAAAGUACAGAGAAGAAGAUACUAAAGAAUGCUCAGCCCCAAACGGAACAUACCCCACACCCUCUCUCCAGGCUGAGAGAUCAUUGCAGAAGAAGCGGCAGAAAGAGCGCAACAGCCAGAAGUGAUAGAUGGCGACACAGAAACAUGUGGCUAGAGCAGGCCAGUGGCACCAAUGAACUCCCAGGGACAUGGAUGUUGUCACAUUCAUAUAACUAGGACAACUCCAAGACAAACCAGACCCUAUCAUGGGGAAGGAUAUCAGCUCCAGCUGAGGAGCCAGAGAAGGACAUCAGCUCCAGCUGAGAGCUGGGAAGGACAUCAACUCAGGCUGAGCAGCCAUUGGCAAUUGUUACUGCUGGAAGAGGAAAAGAUCAUUUUCUCUAGGAGCGACUCCCCUGAGAAGCUGACUCUGCUCCAGCAGAAAGCACACAUCCAAUAAUA